rfam:Salmo salar isolate Sally breed double haploid chromosome ssa18, whole genome shotgun sequence.
UGCACACACUACUGUAAGUCGCUCUGGAUAAGAGCGUCUUCUAAAUAACGUAAA